rnacentral:rRNA from 1 species
UGCCAGACUCCUACGGGAGGCAGCAGUGGGGGAUAUUGCACAAUGGGGGGAACCCUGAUGCAGCGACGCCGCGUGAGCGAUGAAGUAUUUCGGUAUGUAAAGCUCUAUCAGCAGGGAAGAAGAUGACGGUACCUGACUAAGAAGCCCCGGCUAACUACGUGCCAGCAGCCGCGGUAAUACGUAGGGGGCAAGCGUUAUCCGGAUUUACUGGGUGUAAAGGGAGCGUAGACGGCGAUGCAAGCCUGGAGUGAAAGGCGAGGGCUCAACCCCCGGACUGCUUUGGGAACUGCAUGGCUGGAGUGUCGGAGAGGCAGGCGGAAUUCCUAGUGUAGCGGUGAAAUGCGUAGAUAUUAGGAGGAACACCAGUGGCGAAGGCGGCCUGCUGGACGAUGACUGACGUUGAGGCUCGAAAGCGUGGGGAGCAAACAGGAUUAGAUACCCCAGUA